rnacentral:tRNA from 1 species
GUGGCCGUAGCUCAGCUGGUUAGAGCGCCGGACUGUGGCUCCGGAGGUCGGGGGUUCAAAUCCCCUCGGUCACCCCA